rnacentral:rRNA from 1 species
GCAUAUCAAUAAGCGGAGGAAAAGAAACCAACCGGGAUUGCCCUAGUAACGGCGAGUGAAGCGGCAAGAGCUCAAAUUUGAAAGCUGGCUCCUUCGGGGUCCGCAUUGUAAUUUGCAGAGGAUGCUUCGGGAGCGGUCCCCAUCUAAGUGCCCUGGAACGGGCCGUCAUAGAGGGUGAGAAUCCCGUAUGGGAUGGGGUGCCCGCGCCCGUGUGAAGCUCCUUCGACGAGUCGAGUUGUUUGGGAAUGCAGCUCUAAUUGGGUGGUAAAUUUCAUCUAAAGCUAAAUAUUGGCCGGAGACCGAUAGCGCACAAGUAGAGUGAUCGAAAGAUGAAAAGCACUUUGAAAAGAGAGUUAAACAGCACGUGAAAUUGUUGAAAGGGAAGCGCUUGCGAUCAGACUCGCUCGCGGGGUUCAGCCGGCCUUCGGGCCGGUGUACUUCCCCGCGAGCGGGCCAGCGUCGGUUUGGGCGGCCGGUCAAAGGCCCCUGGAAUGUAACGCCUCUCGGGGCGUCUUAUAGCCAGGGGUGCCAUGCGGCCUGCCCGGACCGAGGAACGCGCUUCGGCUCGGACGCUGGCAUAAUGGUCGUAAGCGACCCGUCUUGAAACACGGGACCAAGGAGUCUAACAUCUACGCGAGUGUUCGGGUGUCAAACCCGUGCGCGCAGUGAAAGCGAACGGAGGUGGGAACCCCUCGGGGUGCACCAUCGACCGAUCCUGAUGUCUUCGGAUGGAUUUGAGUAAGAGCGUAGCUGUUGGGACCCGAAAGAUGGUGAACUAUGCCUGAAUAGGGCGAAGCCAGAGGAAACUUCUGGUGGAGGCUCGCAGCGGUUCUGACGUGCAAAUCGAUCGUCAAAUUUUGGGUUUAGGGGGGGAAAAAA